rnacentral:rRNA from 1 species
AGAGCGAACGCUGGCGGCGUGCUUAACACAUGCAAGUCGAGUGCGCGCCUGUAGCAAUACAGGUGGCGCACGGCGCACGGGUGCGUAACACGUGGGUAAUCUGCCCUUCGAUGGGGAAUAACUCCGGGAAACCGAAGCUAAUUCCGCAUAACAUUCCUUGGACCUCGGUCUGGGGAUUCAAAGCCGUAAGGCGUCGGAGGAGGAACCCGCGCACGAUUAGUUAGUUGGCAGGGUAACGCCUACCAAGACUUUGAUCGUUAGC